GACGAACGCUGGCGGCGUGCUUAACACAUGCAAGUCAAACGGUAAGGCCCUUCGGGGUACACGAGUGGCGAACGGGUGAGUAACACGUGGGUGAUCUGCCCUGCACUUCGGAAUAAGCCUGGGAAGCUGGGUGUAAUACCGGAUAGGACCCUGGGAUGCAUGUCCUGGGGUGGACAGCGUUUGCGGUGUGGGAUGGGCUCGCGGCCUAUCAGCUUGUUGGUGGGGUGAUGGCCUACCAAGGCGACGACGGGUAGCCGGCCUGAGAGGGUGACCGGCCACACUGGGACUGAGAUACGGCCCAGACUCCUACGGGAGGCAGCAGUGGUGAAUAUUGCACAAUGGGCGCAAGCCUGAUGCAGCGACGCCGCGUGAGGGAUGACGGCCUUCGGGUUGUAAACCUCUUUCAGCACCGACGAAGCGCAAGUGACGGUAGGUGCAGAAGAAGGACCGGCCAACUACGUGCCAGCCGCCGCAGUAA
rnacentral:rRNA from 1 species